rnacentral:tRNA from 1 species
GUUAGGGCUCAGUUGGUAGAGUAUUUGCCUUGCAUGCACAAGGCCCUGGGUUCAAUCCCCAGCACCACA